rnacentral:tRNA from 1 species
AGCCGUGUGCCCGAGUGGUUGAGGGACUCGCCUGCACAGUGCCUAACAGCGGGCUCCGCCCGCGGGGAGUUACGCCGGUUCGAUUCCGGUCACGGCUU